CUACAUGUGCAUAUGGAUUGGUGAAUGAAUUUCGGAAAUCACAUUUGUUGCACAAUUUCUGCCUUCUGCGCGGUGGCCUGCGGAGACCCAAUCUAGCAUGACGACAGCCAUCCGUGAUGGCCUCCUCGUCUGCUAUGUCGCACUCUGAUAGCAACACGACGUUGUUCCCAUGCUCUUCAAGGUUACAUCCUUCCUCCCCUCCUCUGCUUGAUUUGUUUGAUUAGUACAAUAAUCUGCCUACCACCAACCUGUUCGUGAAAAUACUCAGCACAGAUGGACGAGAUUUAAGACCUGCCCACCACAUGUUCGAUAGAAUGCUUCUCUGAGAUUUACAUGUAUGGAAGAUCUCCUUGUAGCAGUUGUUAAUGUCUAGAAUGUACUGUAUAUGAUCCUUUUCUAGUGCUCAAAUGUGAUACCCAUCAUGUCCUAUGUAAGCUAUGUAAACAUGAAUGUGCUAUGUAAACAUGAAUGUGAAGUUGUAUUUGUCAAAGUUGAAUCUGGAUGUGAUGUAUCUGCCUUGUCUAGUGAAUUUCGAAUUUAUUA